rnacentral:rRNA from 1 species
UACGGAGGGGGCUAGCGUUGUUCGGAAUUACUGGGCGUAAAGCGCGCGUAGGCGGCUUUGUAAGUUAGAGGUGAAAGCCCGGAGCUCAACUCCGGAAUUGCCUUUAAGACUGCAUCGCUAGAAUCAUGGAGAGGUUAGUGGAAUUCCGAGUGUAGAGGUGAAAUUCGUAGAUAUUCGGAAGAACACCAGUGGCGAAGGCGACUAACUGGACAUGU